rnacentral:sRNA from 21 species
GCAGUGUCUCGUUCGGCGAGGCUCCUAUGCAAACACAGGUCACUGAUCUGACGACGUCGAGAGACGCCCAAGGUUAGGACAGGCUUUAUCGGAUUAAGGUUUAGCCCAAAGUGACUUCCAACGGAUACGUUGCAUAGUGCCAAAACCUAGACGCGGAGAUCGCUU